GGCUUCAUGGAUUCAGUUGGUUAGAGCGUUGCACCGAGGUCACGGGUUCAAACCCCGUUGAAGCUC
rnacentral:tRNA from 1 species